GUUCCUAUAGUUGAAGUAUACAACGGUGGUUUUUCAGGCCAUAGGUCUUGGAGAGAAGCCAAGUAGGAAUU
rnacentral:tRNA from 1 species